AACCCGGCGUAAUAAUAUCGUCGCCCGCGGCCGUUCAAUAAUACGUAUUUUGUUUUUUAUUCUGUAUGUACCGUACGGCACUUCGGCCGAUUAUUAAUAGUGUCAAUUAAACUAAGACAUAAGUGAUGAACACUUACAUUUUUAGAUUUUAAAAAAGUACUAUUUUAUAAUAUACGAUGAAUUAUAACCAAUUCAAUUUAAAU